GACGUAGGGUGCAAGCGUUAAUCGGAAUUACUGGGCGUAAAGCGUGCGUAGACGGCUAUCUAAGUCGGGUGUGAAAGCCCCGGGCUCAACCUGGGAAUUGCAUUCGAGACUGAAUAGCUAGGGUACGGUAGAGGGAAGUGGAAUUUCCGGUGUAGCGGUGAAAUGCGUAGAUAUCGGAAGGAACAUCAGUGGCGAAAGCGACUUCCUGGACCAGUACCGACGUUCAGGCACGAAAGCGUGGGGAGCAAACAGG
rnacentral:rRNA from 1 species